rnacentral:rRNA from 1 species
UACGAAGGGGGCUAGGCGUUGUUCGGAUUUACUGGGCGUAAAGCGCACGUAGGCGGAUUGGUCAGUUAGGGGUGAAAGUCCUGGAGCUCAACUCCAGAACUGCCUCUAAUACUGCCAAUCUCGAGUCCGGAAGAGGUAAGUGGAACUCCUAGUGUAGAGGUGGAAUUCGUAGAUAUUAGGAAGAACACCAGUGGCGAAGGCGGCUUACUGGUCCGGUACUGACGCUGAGGUGCGAAAGCGUGGGGGAGCAAACAGG